UGGGGAAUUUUGGACAAUGGGCGAAAGCCUGAUCCAGCCAUGCCGCGUGCAGGAUGAAGGCCUUCGGGUUGUAAACUGCUUUUGUACGGAACGAAAAGACUCUGGUUAAUACCUGGGGUCCAUGACGGUACCGUAAGAAUAAGCACCGGCUAACUACGUGCCAGCAGCCGCGGUAAUACGUAGGGUGCAAGCGUUAAUCGGAAUUACUGGGCGUAAAGCGUGCGCAGGCGGUUAUAUAAGACAGAUGUGAAAUCCCCGGGCUCAACCUGGGAACUGCAUUUGUGACUGUAUAGCUAGAGUACGGCAGAGGGGGAUGGAAUUCCGCGUGUAGCAGUGAAAUGCGUAGAUAUGCGGAGGAACACCGAUGGCGAAGGCAAUCCCCUGGCCUGUACUGACGCUCAUGCACGAAAGCGUGGGGAGCAAACAGGAUUAGAUACCCUGGUAGUCCACGCCCUAAACGAUGUCAACUGGGUUGUUGGGUCUUCACUGACUCAGUAACGAAGCUAACGCGUGAAGUUGACCGCCUGGGGUAGUACGGCCNCCAAGGUUUGGAAACUCAAAGGAAUUGACGGGGGUCAUAGCUGG
rnacentral:rRNA from 1 species